UAAUCUCACUACAGAUUGACCUUUGUCUUUCGGUAUGUGGACUUGGAUGUUGCCGUGGAUAUCUAUGGCUUGUCUGAAAUGCUUCAGUGUACCCCGCUUUGCGACGUAUUCGGUGUGAUACAUCUUCACCGGAGUUGACUCUUUCUGAGUCGCGUCUGCAAUGGUGUGGCUCUAUGCUUCAAACUGUCUCUUGAGACAACCUCUGACAAU
rnacentral:misc_RNA from 1 species